rnacentral:rRNA from 1 species
UACAGAGGUCUCAAGCGUUGUUCGGAUUCAUUGGGCGUAAAGGGUGCGUAGGCGGCGCGGUAAGUCGGGUGUGAAAUUUCGAGGCUUAACUUCGAAACUGCAUUCGAUACUGCCGUGCUAGAGGACUGGAGAGGGGACUGGAAUUUACGGUGUAGCGGUGAAAUGCGUAGAUAUCGUAAGGAAGACCAGUGGCGAAGGCGGGCUACUGGGCCGAUACUGACGCUGAUGCGCGAAAGCCAGGGGAGCGAACGGG